CUUUAUGAGUCAUUGAAGUCAGUGGCAAGAAAAAAGUCUGGAUGAUUGGCAGUGGCCUUCAGUGCAGUGGAUGUCCUUGGCAUCGUUCAAAUCUGACCAAGCUCUAAGAAAUCCAUGGCACCGACUUCAGCCAUCUUCAUGGUUGUUGGAGCAAACUGUUCUCAUGUGCCCAUUUGAUCAGAAUGGAGGGAGGCAACAGUCUUCACAUGUGUGGGGUAGACACCUCCCUAACUCACUGACAGCUCUGAGGCAAUGGCCAGGGAAGUCUGUCUUUGUGUCUGCUCCGGGAAAUCCUGAAUCUCCUCUGUAAACAGAUGACGCUGCAUGCAGAUGGGCAGACCAGAAUGAAUCCCAGCAAAUACAGGAUCUAGUCACCAGAUGUGGUGAGAGUGCAAGACCACAAGAUGGAAUAAAGAUCUCAAAAUCCA